rnacentral:rRNA from 1 species
AGGGUUUGAUCCUGGCUCAGAUUGAACGCUGGCGGCAGGCCUAACACAUGCAAGUCGAACGGUAACAUUUCUAGCUUGCUAGAAGAUGACGAGUGGCGGACGGGUGAGUAAUGCUUGGGAACUUGCCUUUGCGAGGGGGAUAACAGUUGGAAACGACUGCUAAUACCGCAUAAUGUCUUCGGACCAAACGGGGCUUCGGCUCCGGCGCAAAGAGAGGCCCAAGUGAGAUUAGCUAGUUGGUAAGGUAACGGCUUACCAAGGCGACGAUCUCUAGCUGUUCUGAGAGGAAGAUCAGCCACACUGGGACUGAGACACGGCCCAGACUCCUACGGGAGGCAGCAGUGGGGAAUAUUGCACAAUGGGGGAAACCCUGAUGCAGCCAUGCCGCGUGUGUGAAGAAGGCCUUCGGGUUGUAAAGCACUUUCAGUUGUGAGGAAAAGUUAGUAGUUAAUACCUGCUAGCCGUGACGUUAACAACAGAAGAAGCACCGGCUAACUCCGUGCCAGCAGCCGCGGUAAUACGGAGGGUGCGAGCGUUAAUCGGAAUUACUGGGCGUAAAGCGCACGCAGGCGGUUUGUUAAGCUAGAUGUGAAAGCCCCGGGCUCAACCUGGGAUGGUCAUUUAGAACUGGCAGACUAGAGUCUUGGAGAGGGGAGUGGAAUUCCAGGUGUAGCGGUGAAAUGCGUAGAUAUCUGGAGGAACAUCAGUGGCGAAAGCGACUCCCUGGCCAAAGACUGACGCUCAUGUGCGAAAGUGUGGGUAGCGAACAGGAUUAGAUACCCUGGUAGUCCACACCGUAAACGCUGUCUACUAGCUGUGUGUGUCUUUAAGACGUGCGUAGCGAAGCUAACGCGCUAAGUAGACCGCCUGGGGAGUACGGCCGCAAGGUUAAACUCAAAUGAAUUGACGGGGGCCCGCACAAGCGGUGGAGCAUGUGGUUUAAUUCGAUGCAACGCGAGAACCUUACCUACACUUGACAUGCUGAGAAGUUACUAGAGAUAGUUUCGUGCCUUCGGAACUCAGACCCAGGUGCUGCAUGCUGUCGUCAGCCCAUGUUGUGGAGUUGUUGGGUUAGUCCCGCCACCGAGCGCACCCCUUAUCUUAGUUGCUAGCAGUAAUGCUUGAAACUCUUAGGAACUGCCGGAUAACCGAGAGGUGGGACGACGUCAGUCUUCAUGGCUUACGGUAAGGCUACACCGGCUCAUUGGCCAUACGAGGUCGUGCACUUCGGAGAGUAGCCAAUCCAUAAGUGUUGCGCGUCCUAAUC